GGGACCUAAUGUCCUCCCCCAUGAGCGGUGGGUGGGGGCCCUAAAUACAAAUUGGGGGGGCCUAAUGACCUAAUGGGGGCACCCGAAUGUCCGAAUUACCCGAAAUUCAACCAAAUUUUAAUUUGGACCGAAACGAAUUGCACAUGUCUACUAAUCUCUAAUUUUCCUCACAUUAAAGGGACACUAUAGUCCCCAGAACCACUGCAGCUUCAUGUAGUGGUUCUGGUGUCUAUAGCCUGUCUCUGCAGGCUUUUUAAUGUAAACACACACUGUGUGCACACUGUAUGCAGCAGUGGCAUAAGUUCAUUUGGCAGAUCAUAUGGGUGGGGCAUUGUGAUGUCACAUGGGGGGUGCAAAUCUUUCCUUUGCUUGGGGCCACAAAAAUCCUUGCACUGGCCCUGACCUGACAUGUCCAGUACAUUUAUAAAUCCAGUAAGUAAUAAUUGUAUUCAGUGUUGUGGGCUGUAAGGUGGUCUAAAGUGCUAAAAGUUGGUCAGUCACCAUGGAGACCAGUGAAAACAGCUGAUACAUUGUAUUUGUGACUGCUUUUCAAUGUAUGCACUACUAUUCAGAACACACAGUCUUUAUACAUAAAACUUCCAAGUUUCAGUAAGGUUCUUUGUCAAUUAGAACUUGAUUAUAAAUAGUGUCACUUCUCACCUUACCUGUGUAUCUACCUGAGUUAAAUAUUUGCUCACUGGAUUACAAGGAGUGUUGCUGGGCUGUGUGUUUUUAAAAGGAUGACCUAUCAGGAACAACAGAAUAACCUGGGACAUGAUUUCAGAUAAAUAGCAUCAUUAAAACCAUAUUCUUCAUAAGUGGGAUCACAGUAGAUUCCAGAUUUCCUCCUAAUUGUUCUACUCACAAUUAUCCAUAGACUAUUCUUGCAUCUAUUCUAUGUAUCCUUUAAAAACACAUUAGGAUGAAUACAACUAGUCAAUUUAUG